CUACGGGGCGCACCAGUGGGGAAUAUUGGACAAUGGGGGAAACCCUGAUCCAGCAAUGCCGCGUGUGUGAAGAAGGCCUGCGGGUUGUAAAGCACUUUCGGUUGGGAGGACUGCUUCUAGCACUAAUAUUGUUGGAAGUUGACGUUACCUUCAGAAGAAGCACCGGCUAACUCCGUGCCAGCAGCCGCGGUAAUACGGAGGGCGCAAGGGUUAAUCGGAAUUACUGGGCGUAAAGCGCGCGUAGGCGGCUAGACCAGUCGGGUGUGAAAGCCCCGGGCUUAACCUGGGAACUGCAUCCGAUACUGUCUAGCUUGAGUACAGGAGAGGAGAGUGGAAUUCCACAUGUAGCGGUGAAAUGCGUAGAUAUGUGGAGGAACACCAAUGGCGAAGGCAGCUCUCUGGCCUGAUACUGACGCUGAGGUGCGAAAGCGUGGGGAGCAAACAGGAUUAGAUACCCCGGUAGUC
rnacentral:rRNA from 1 species